rnacentral:other from 1 species
AUAUUCCUGGGUCUCGCGAUGGGGAAACAUAAUUGAACCUACAUUUGCGCAUUGGGAAUCCGGAGUUUCCGAAACAUUAUGCCAGGCCUCACAAAACAGAGGAAGGCAGAAGUCAGGAACAGGAUACCCACCUAUCAUUGAUAGGGCGUCAAUUAUUUCUCCGACGGUCAUCCCGGGAACCUU